GGAAUUUGAAGCUGACAACUUAUAGGGUCCCUUCUAAUGCAUGGCCCCAUAGGACAUGGUUAUUCACAUGUAUGUUUAAUUUAAGUAAAACUUGAUUGAGCUAAGUGUUAUAACCUAACAAGGUUUACAUCUAAAUAUCUAAUUAAUGUGAAGCAUAAAUAUAAAAGCUAGCAUUCUCACUACAUUAGAGAAUAUCAAUUUGGUUACCAAUGAAUUCACGGAAAUUAUACCAAAGUUUUUUUAACCAAUUCUAAGAUGAUAUGGAGAAAUUAUGGUAGAGUAGUGAUAUUUUAUGCGGUGGUCAAAAUGUCUUUGAUGCGACGAAGAAUGACAGUCAGAGCUCUUCCACAUGAGUGUUGUAUCUACAAACAUUCAAACACUCGAGUUAGUAAGAGAUUGAGUUGAGUGUGAGAUAAAAUAUACAAUACAUAUCUUUUUUUUUUCCGUUGUCUAAUCUUGAUCAUACGGUGAUUGAUAUCGAGACGUAAGACGUAAGUAAGUGACGCGUGUCUCCCUCAUAGACUAUCUAUCUACAUACUAAUGAAUUUUAGUGGUGGAUCCCACGGUAGAUGGAUUUUGGCCAGUCUGAAACAAAUAGUAUGCAACCUCUUCAAUUCCUUGAGGUCAAACUACUAGACAUAGGCACAAAA
rnacentral:lncRNA from 1 species